UCGCUCGCUCGCUCUCGUUCCUCUCUCCCUCCUCUCUGCGUCUCCUCCCUCCAAGCUGGCCUCGGGGUGCAGAGGCUGACGUCCAGGGCGGGGACUGGGGAAAGCUGCGGAGGGUAUAUCCAGGAAGGGCCAAGGCUGAAGGAGUGCAUUUCUGGGGGAGGCUUUAAAAAAGCAGUUGUGGACCGGGGUUAGAGUUGGUAGCUGUGGCUUUUCAAGAAACCCAAGCGCAUUAUUUGAAGAACUGCAACUCUGACUCCAGUUAAGAUGUGUUUUCCGGUUAGCCUGGGUAACUCGGACGGUCUGUAGAAGAAUGAGAUGUCAUUAUCGCGUUUCUAAUUUGUAGCUUAAAUAUGUUACAAACUCUGGAUCCCGGCAGAAAAGUUACUUUCCGGUACCAUUCCCCAACCUCCUAAUUUGGAAGUUGCAUCAUUUUCCUACUGUAUUUCACACUCUGGAGUGUAAGGAGAUUGAAAAAAAAGACUGCCUCUGGCAACUCUUGUGACCUCUACUAAUUAGUUUAUUAACCGUUACUGAAUACUCUUCCAAAUGCUGCAAUUUAAUCAACAUUAGCACCCCAAAUCCAAUACAUAGCUGAAAGGUAUUUCAUUACUCUUGAAAGCCAAAACUCUUAAUUGUUUAUCUUGGAUCCUUAACUUAAAAGCCUCAGUGGACCUUCUUUCAAAUAUGAAUAAACCAUGCGAUUUUUUAAAAGCAAAUAUACAUUAGUCUGUUUUUUUUUUUUUUUUUUUAAUAGAUCCUCAGAUUUGAAGCCAGGCAUCGACUGGCUACGUUUAAACUCAGAAUCACCCGAGAGAGAGAGAGAGAGAGAGAUGGUUAGAAAGCCAAAAAGAAUAAGCAAUUGGGAUGAAGUAGAGGGUCUGUAUUUCACAUUACAAUGCCACCAUAGUUUUAAAUUACCAGUAUGAGGAAUCAAAGAAGUUCCAAAUUUAUGCCAUCGUUUCCUCUUUUUCUAAGAAAAAAGAUAUAGUCAGCUCCUUAGUUAAGAGUAUGGAUUCUAGGGUUGCCUGGGUGGCUCAGUGGGUUACUCAGCUGCCUUCAGUUCAGCUCAAUGGCUCCAGAGUCCUGGAUGGAGUCCCACAUCUGGCUCCCUGCUCAGCAGGAGUCUGCUGCUUCUUCACCCUCUGCCCCUCUCUGCCUCUCCUGCUCUCUCAUUCUCUCUCAAAUAAAUAAAUAGAAUCUUAAAAAAAAAAAAAAAAGAAAGAAAGAAAGUAUGGAUUCUAGAGUCGAUGCCUGGCUUCAAAUUCCAGAUCAGUAACCUCAGCCAAUUUAUUUAAGCAAUCUCUCAGUACCUUGGUUUCUUCAGUUAUAAAGUGAGGAUGACCUGACAGCACUGUUGUGAGUAAAUGGGUUAAUGCAGUUAAUUCUCUUAGAAUGGUGUCUGUUUCAUAAUAAACACUGUAUGCGCUAUUACCUCAUUUUGGCUAUGCAGUAGUCCCAUCUUCUGUGCGGUUUCACUUUCAGGGUUUCAAUUACCAGUGCCAAAGACAGUCACGAAAGCAAAUAAUUCUCUCAUCUACGGUCCAGAAGGUCAACAGUAGCCUAAGGCUACUUCACCAUGCCUCUGUCAUUCGGCUCUCAUCAUCUCAUCAUGUCGGCAAUUUAUCAUCAUCCCAUGUCAUCCCAAGAAGGCCAUCCAGGCAGGUGUAAGGUGUUAUCUCAUCGUGGUUUUGAUUUCCAUUUCCCUGAUGUUGCGUAACAAUGGACAAGAAGAGAGGAGCAACAGAAGGAACUAUGAAACUUAGAAGAAUCUAGAGGACAUCUAGAAGCCCAAGGAUUUGCUGGUUUGGAAAAUAUAACUCUUGCCCCAGUUCUCCCAUCUGGUAAAAAUCUCUCGAAGUGAAAAAUCAAACCAGGGGUAUGGCUGUAAGGACCCUUGUUCAGACCCCUGAAUAAUUUAAGUAAUGCCUAAAGGACUGUUUCAAGUAGAGCUUUUGAGAUCUUAAGGAUAUUUUCUCACAGCAGCCUCAAAUCAUUGCCCAAAAGACUAUAUAUAUAACACAGAACACCAUGAAGCUCCCCUAUUUUGAUGGCAUUAUGUUAAUUGGAUCACUGGAAUACCAGAGGGAAACGAAUAAAUCCUAAAUGAU